AGCCUAAUCAUGCAAGUCGAGCGAGUGAACUAAAAACGUCCUUCGGGACGUGCGUUAGUGGAUCUAGCGGCGGAUGGGUGAGUAACACGUGGGCAACCUGCCUGUAAGACUGGGAUAACUCGCGGAAACGCGAGCUAAUACCGGAUAACUUUCCGGAUCGCAUGAUUCGGAAUUAAAAGAUGGCUUUGCUAUCACUUACAGAUGGGCCCGCGGCGCAUUAGCUAGUUGGUGGGGUAAGAGCCUACCAAGGCAACGAUGCGUAGCCGACCUGAGAGGGUGAUCGGCCACACUGGGACUGAGACACGGCCCAGACUCCUACGGGAGGCAGCAGUAGGGAAUCUUCCGCAAUGGACGAAAGUCUGACGGAGCAAUGCCGCGUGAGUGAUGAAGGUCUUCGGAUCGUAAAACUCUGUUGUCAGGGAAGAACAAGUGCCGUUUGAAUAAGGCGGAACCUUGACGGUACCUGACCAGAAAGCCACGGCUAACUACGUGCCAGCAGCCGCGGUAAU
rnacentral:rRNA from 1 species